rnacentral:rRNA from 1 species
AGUGAACGCUGGCGGUAGGCCUAACACAUGCAAGUCGAACGGCAGCACAGUAAGAGCUUGCUCUUACGGGUGGCGAGUGGCGGACGGGUGAGGAAUACAUCGGAAUCUACUUUUUCGUGGGGGAUAACGUAGGGAAACUUACGCUAAUACCGCAUACGACCUACGGGUGAAAGCAGGGGAUCUUCGGACCUUGCGCGAUUGAAUGAGCCGAUGUCGGAUUAGCUAGUUGGCGGGGUAAAGGCCCACCAAGGCGACGAUCCGUAGCUGGUCUGAGAGGAUGAUAAGCCACACUGGAACUGAGGCACGGUCCAGACUCCUACGGGAGGCAGCAGUGGGGAAUAUUGGACAAUGGGCGCAAGCCUGAUCCAGCCAUACCGCGUGGGUGAAGAAGGCCUUCGGGUUGUAAAGCCCUUUUGUUGGGAAAGAAAAGCAGCAGGUUAAUACCCCGCUGUUCUGACGGUACCCAAAGAAUAAGCACCGGCUAACUUCGUG